CAUGUUGUUAUUUGGUUGUGUGCCCUGGCAUGUUUUUGACAGUUGGUUUAAGGAUGGCAAAGAGCUGACAGACCAGAGGAAGUACCACAUAGAGAGUGAUGCCCGCAGUGGGAUCCUCACGCUCACCAUCAUGAACCCUGGAGAGACAGACCUGGGACAGUAUAAGUGUGAGCUGUGGAACAAGUUGGGCAGUGCCAAGAGUGAGGCAGAGAUGUGCUCCGCCUUUGCACAAGUGAUGGACAGUGAGCCUGACCAACCACAGGCCAUCUUGAUCCAAGGUACAGUAGGAGAGUUUCCUCCACCAAAUCAAGGUAAAUGUCCACCUCAGAGUAAGGAAACAGGUUUUGAGAAGAAGGCUAUAGUAAAUAUGUUCAUCUUUAGUGUCCACAUGUUCUACACUAUAAGACAUGAUGACAGCCUAAUACAAUCUAGGACAAGGACCCCAUAGGUCUAACUCUUACUGAUAUCUAAUGAGAGACAACGAAAAAUAUUGUUUUAUCCCAGUUUUAUUCUGUGGACAAUACAAGCUCAGUGUUAACUGAAGAGGGAUCAGAAAAGCACAUGCCAUGGUCCUUACUUAGUUUCACCUCACCUCACUUCACUUUCACCUACUUUACCUCAGAUCACUUUACUUCACUUCACUUUAUCUCUGUUUUCACACUGUCAGUCAUCAUUGCCAUUCCUCAUGUUCAAUUUGGAUUGUCUCAUUACCUAGGUUACCCUUUCUCUCCCAUUUCAUUCCAAACACCCUUGAAACCAUAUACACUUCCAGUCACCUACAUUAGCGAUCAACAUAGAUAUCAUAUCAUUACUAGUCGUACAUAUUCAUGAAAGACAUUGAUACACUUUAGUAUUGGAUGUUUUUGCUCGUGUUUUCAUCAUGUUUCCAUCUUUCAGAAAUGAAAAGCAUUGGAAAGGACCGGGUCAUUUCCUCCCAUUUGACUGAUCUUGAUGGAUUUCCAAAAGCUUUUCCAAACAGGAUAAAUAAGGGGCCAUAGCUCAUUUACAUCGAGGGGUGUUUCCCGGACACAGAUAUUAACCUACAGUAGUCCUGGAGUAAAAAGCACUUUCAAUAGACGUUCUCCUUUGAGCUUACUUUUUAGUCCAGGACUAGGCUUAAUCUGUGCCCAAUAACGGCCCCUCAGAGUCCAUAUCAGGACCCCGAAAAGUCGAUUGAUUACGACACAGCAGUAAAUCCUUGCUAUAUCAUCCAUAUCAAACACCUUCAAUGAAACACAUUCAAUCACAUAGAGCACAUUUUCUAUUUUCUGUAUUUCAAGGCAGAUUAAAAUUAGUAAACAAAAAUGAGAAUACAAUUAGAAUACUGUCAUUGCUGUAUCUAUCAAUCACUUUCCUUCAUGAGCUAUGAUUCCACCUCUAAGUAGUUUUCCUUUUGGCUUUUGGACACCAGUUGAUCAUGUGAGGCAAUCCAUUCUCUGUAACCCUCCUCCUCUCCAUCCUCUGUAGUCCCCGAACAGGAAGUACCUCACAGAGCCUUCAUCAUGUUCACAGUAUCAUGGACCCAGUGCAUGUGGAUGGGUCCUCUCUCGUCUCCAACGCAUGCCCAGUUAACUCUCCACUCCUACCCAUACAAGAUGGUCAUGUGCUGGGCAUCAGGCGCCCCUUAUUCCCCCCCCUCCCCCCCCUCCCCUGGGGAGUGGGCAUGUGUCCAUGUCCUGUUCAUGGGCUGAUUUACAAACUAUUGGGUGUCCUUCAAGUCUGGAGGUAAGACGUGCACUGGUUAUUGUGUUCCUGUGAGUCUGGAGGUAAGGGUACUGUACGUUCCUAACAUUUGCUUUUAUCAUAUUUUUCACAUUCUACAUUUUUAAAUAGACAGUUGCUAAUGUCUCGACACGCUUUGCCUCGGUCACAAAUUAGCAUGGCUUCAAAAAAUAUAUUAAUUGUAAAGGCCAGUUAAUAUGAAUGAAUGAUUUUGGAUUAUUAGACCCUAACAGCACCUAAGAGCAUCAGCAUGAGAGUGGUGUCAUUGUGCUUCCAGACUCCGACUCAGAGGGCUGGUCCACUGCCAUGGUGAAGCAAUGGCUGCAGACAGACUUCCACCCCACCUCUGUUGUCAAAAUGCUGUUCCAGCCUGGAUACCCUCAGCCGUGAGUCUGCCUGCCAGAACUGUGAUACAUUCAUCAUCCUACUGCACCAUCUCUAUUUCUAUCCCAAUAUGUAUUUUCUCCACAGAGCCGAGGGUAGCCAAGAGGAAAGGGACCCUACCGCCAGAGGACACGUGGCGGCUCCACAGUUCCCCACUGAGCUUGAGGAGAGACCUGAGGUUGAGGAGGAACUUUAUGUUCCUGAGGCCAUAGAGGAAAUGCCAACAGGUACUGUACUUUGCAAUUGUGCGUACACACUGUAGUUCCUUAUUUUCUAAAAGAGGUGGCCACUGAUCCUAAGACAUGAAUCAUCUCAUGAAAUGACCUCACUUCCUGUCUCCUCAGCUCCUCCCUCCAUCCAGGUGCCGGUUGAGGACCUGUGUGUGGAGCCUGGUCAAUCAGCUACCUUCACCAUCAUCAUCACAGGAAGGCCCACCCCCGAGAUUCAGUGGUACAAGGUUGGGGCGCUUCAAACUUCCUCAAUCUAAGACCACCAUCAACUCAUUCACUGUUAUAAUUCACUUAAUUCAAACCUUCGUUAUGACAUUCCCCAAUACAUUUAAGCAUAGCUGACACCGCCGGACAUAACUAACCAAAACAAUUCAUCAACUGAGUAGUACGAGCAUGGUAAUUGUUGGUGUUCUCCUCUACUGCUUGGCCCCUGUGCUGUCGUAGAAGCUGUGCCUUAGUAGUGUCUGUCUCAUAUGAUUGGAGGAUGGAGAGGAGCUGUUGGCCAAUGAGAAUGUGGAGGUUGUCCAGAAUGGUGCCCGCUGCUCUCUGACUGUGCUGUGCCCAGAGAGCGAGGAUGGUGGCAUCUACACCUGCUGGGCCUAUAACGACUUAGGACACACCUCCUGUCAGGCUCAGCUGACAGUGGAGGAGGGUAAGACCUCAGUACACACCUAUGGUGUCUGUCAAAUUAAUAAAAAAUGAAUCCCCCUUGUACAGCAGCGCACUACUUUUCACCUGAGCCAUGUGUCUUUCUGUUCACUGUCCUUAUUUUUACUGUCAUUCAAACUAGCUGAUGCCAAACCUAUGACAGAUUUAACACAAAAUGCCUAGAUGAGCAUCCUAAUUCCCAAAUCCAACAAAACACCAGAAAUGUGAUGUUCUCUGGCUGACUAAAUGUGACUGCAUGGU
rnacentral:lncRNA from 8 species